AGGUGUUGGCUAAGAUUGGCACAGUAGCUUAUAAGCUGAAAUUGUUUGAUCAUGCAAAGAUUCAUGAUGCAUGUCUUUCAUGUGUUCCAAUUGAAGCAAUUCAGAGGGGCUUUGCAUGUUACUACUGACCUUCCUAGUUGGUUGUCAUCUUCUUUGGUACCACACUCUGUUCUUAAUAAAAGAAUGAGGCCAUUUCAGAAUAGAGCUAAAGUAGAGUAUCCGGUGCAAUUGGCAGGCCAGG
rnacentral:lncRNA from 1 species